CGGACUUUCAGGUUUCAUAUAUUCUUUAUAUUACACUGACCAUUCUCACUAGUAUAAAUCAAGACAUAAUUUGAAACGUAUCUAUAGCUACCUCAAGAAUAAUCCUUCUUCGGCACAUAUGUAGAUCAGAUUUUUUACUAAAUUUCGGAAUUGAAUGAAAUGUGUAGAGUGCAAAUAUUCAUACAUUCAACGAUAUAUUUUGCCCCCUUCAUCUAUAUGAAGAGUGGAAAUUAUAAAUGGAGUGAAAAGCCAUCCAAUGGAACAGAGUUUGAUAAGGUUACAUUUUCUUAACGGAGGUAUCUAUGGCACCUCUCAGAAGCUAAGAGCUUGUACGAGUUAGGAGGAUCGUUUAGAUUAUGUGUAGGCUUUGUUACUAUGUCCUUAUUCCUGCGAUAUAACAUAUAUCGUAAUAGCAGAAUAUAAAGAAGUACCUUCCAGCAAUUUGGAGGAAAAUCACGAAUCCAGUCAUAGAUCAACGUCGUUAGGCCUUCAGAUGUGGUUUCAGCAUAGAGUGAAUGGUUUCCUGUCGAAAAAGUUCAUUAUUGGUUACGGAAAUGAACUCAUUUUUCAUCGUCUGAUGGAGACUAAUUCAGAAAAAGGCGGAAAGAAGGCGUAGAAAAUCAUUGCCAACUGAGCUAUCGAAAGAAACUGAUGGAAUAUGGAAUGGCGCAUGCACUUGCUGUAUUCAAAGAAAGUGUCUACAGUCGACAAGAUAAGUUUUCUUUCUAAAAUCAAUCCUAUUUUCUACUGAAAUUAAGUCACUGGCAUUGAUUUUUUAACGGAAUGAAGACAUUUCGAAAAUACUCUUACUUAGUUAAUUGAACAAUGACCUAUGUGAAUUGAACGUCACAUUUUGAUACAAGUAUAAUUUUGUUGUGUUUCAACCAUGAAAAUGUAGGUAAAUUGUAACUGCAAUUGUAAUGAAAGAAUUAAAAAAUAGUUUCCCACGGUUCAACAAAUCAAAUGAGUAUGAAGUCAUAUUUUGAUACGGCAGUUAGAAUUCAGCUACGCUUCAACAAUAAAAAUUUACUUAUCGAAUUCAAAAUUUAUAAUAUAUUGAAUGAAAUUUAAUGAAUAAUUCGGGACUUAUUCAUGAUUUUCGUAAUCAAAUUCGUACUUCGAUAUGUCAUUUGAAAUUUUUCACGCAAAACUAGAUCCAAUUUUGAUUGAAGGAUAUUCAGAUCUGAAUUUCGAUCAAUAUGACAACAGGCACUUUCGUAGAAGAUCAGUCGGUGGGAUUUCGAUGUAAAAAAUGAAUUGAACGUUAACUGGCAGUUAUUCCAUAUCCACUUUAAAUUAUAUGUACUAUUCACAUUGAUAAAAAUAUUUUAUACUAUUUAUUUAUUAUACAGCGCAACAAUAUACAGGUUGUUCCUAAAUUGGAGGUACAAACCAUAGAACAAGUAUGUAUAGAAUGGAAACUCUCAUGAUAAAAUUGACACUGCUUUCAGCGACCUCAUGCGGUUAUUUAUGAAAUUAUAAAAUGAGCACGCGAAAAUUUGAAAUGCUUAGAAUCGAAAAUACUUUAAUUCAAUUCGAGAUUUCGAAUGUGAAAAUAAACAACGUACGAAAAUAAGGUAAUAAGCCUUUCCUUUUGAAUAAGGUAUAUUACCAUUAUAUUUCUGUACGAGUUCUUUCACAUCCAAUAUAUUUGACAAGAUAAGAGGCUUAAGUUCAGAGAAAACAAAGUCAUAUAAAAAAAUCAUCUAUUUAAAGUUUUACAUUUUUCAAAUAUUUCUAGUAUGCCAAAUUUUUAAUUGGGUCACACAUAACUCCAGAAGUUUUGAAUUUUGUAUCAGUGCCCUUCACAAU